rnacentral:rRNA from 1 species
AUUGAACGCUGGCGGCAGGCCUAACACAUGCCAGUCGAGCGGAUGAAGGGAGCUUGCUCCUGGAUUCAGCGGCGGACGGGUGAGUAAUGCCUAGGAAUCUGCCUGGUAGUGGGGGAUAACGUCCGGAAACGGGCGCUAAUACCGCAUACGGCCUGAGGGAGAAAGUGGGGGAUCUUCGGACCUCACGCUAUCAGAUGAGCCUAGGUCGGAUUAGCUAGUUGGUGGGGUAAAGGCCUACCAAGGCGACGAUCCGUAACUGGUCUGAGAGGAUGAUCAGUCACACUGGAACUGAGACACGGUCCAGACUCCUACGGGAGGCAGCAGUGGGGAAUAUUGGACAAUGGGCGAAAGCCUGAUCCAGCCAUGCCGCGUGUGUGAAGAAGGUCUUCGGAUUGUAAAGCACUUUAAGUUGGGAGGAAGGGCAGUAAGUUAAUCCCUUGCUGUUUUGACGUUACCAAAAGAAUAAGCACCGGCUAACUUCGUG